GACGAACGCUGGCGGCGUGCUUAACACAUGCAAGUCGAGCGGUAAGGCCUCUUCGGGGGUACACUAGCGGCGAACGGGUGAGUAACACGUGGGUGACCUGCCGUCUGCACUGUGAUAAGCCUGGGAAACUGGGUAUAAUACCGGAUAUGACCUAUCCUCGCAAGGGGUUUGGGGGAGAGUUUUUUCGGCUGGGCAUGGCGCGCGGCCUCUCAGCUUGUUGGUGGGGUGAUGGCCUACCAAGGCGACGACGGGUAGCCGGCCUGAGAGGGCGACCGGCCACACUGGGACUGAGACACGGCCCAGAAGCAUACGGGAGGCAGCAGUGGGGAAUAGUGGGCAAUGGGCGGAAGCCAGGCGCAGCGACGCCGCGUGGGGGAGGACGGCCUUCGGGGUGUAAACCUCUUUCGACACCGACGAAUUUGGACGGUAGGGGUAGAAGAAGCACCGGCCAACUACGUG
rnacentral:rRNA from 1 species